rnacentral:ncRNA from 1 species
AGGUUUGAGAGUUUGAUCCUGGCUCAGGACGAACGCUGGCGGCGUGCCUAAUACAUGCAAGUCGAGCGGGUUCUGGGAGGCUUGCCUCCUGGAAUCAGCGGCGGACGGGUGAGUAACACGUGGGCAAUCUGCCUGUCAGACCGGAAUAACGCCUGGAAACGGGUGCUAAUGCCGGAUAGAGCA